GGGGAAGAACAGGGGAAGAAAGUUCACUUGACAUGGGAUCCUGACGUUGAGGCAUAUCUCACACUAACUGAAAUAAAGGAUAUGAUAGGUGCCCUAGCUUAAACGAAGGGAUUUCUGCCAGAGCAAGAGCUGUGGUGCUGCCCAUCGGCCAGGCUGCUCUGGCUGCUGGAGGUGCAGCCUAGGCCGUUGAACACAACCUUGUCGGCUGCAUUCAGGAGCAGGCUGUCGGCGGCCAACGCCGACAACAUCCGCUACAACCACGCAUUGAGCAAGCUGCGUCUUGGCCCCCUACACCGGAUCCUCACUCGCGCCCCGCCGUUCCGCCCCUGAGCGCAACGCUGCGGCUAAUCCUAGCUGUGGGCUCUGUUGCCACUGCGGUUCCCGUGCUGCCGCGCCUCCUGGUUGUCCCUUACGUCGUCCCAAAGCCACGCCGCACCCGCGGACCGGCAAGAAGCCUCUCCCGAAGGAUCAAGACCAGAAACUACCUGGAUUGGAGACAGAAAAAUGAGAGAUGAAACUUGAGCUUGAAGAAUACCAGGUGGAAACUAAAGAACCAAUAUGCGGCGAUUAAGCGACUUGUGGAGCGAAACCGCCAACUGGAACAAUAGAUUUUCAAUACAAUGCUUCUUACUGAGGAGGUUCUAUACAAUAGCGGGUAUAGCUAGCAACUUACUUGAAGGUCCCUUCAUAAUUUACAGUUCCUCUUUUUUCUUGUUAGUAGCAAAGUCUUAAGAAGUUGUUACUCAAGGAGACAAAAAAUCCAUCUGCAUGUAUGUAGAUGCACAGCUGGUGAAUGUGUAUUGACUAUUAGUUCGCAGCUUGUAC